rnacentral:rRNA from 1 species
GACGAACGCUGGCGGUGUGCUUAACACAUGCAAGUCGAACGGUAAGGCCCUUUCGGGGGUACACGAGUGGCGAACGGGUGAGUAACACGUGGGUAACCUGCCCUCAUCUCUGGGAUAACAGUCGGAAACGGUUGCUAAUACCGGAUAUGAGCCUGCAAGGCAUCUUGUGGGUUGGAAAGAUUUUUUGGUUGGGGAUGGACUCGCGGCCUAUCAGCUUGUUGGUGAGGUAGUGGCUCACCAAGGCUUCGACGGGUAGCCGGCCUGAGAGGGCGACCGGCCACAUUGGGACUAAGAUACGGCCCAAACUCCUACGGGAGGCAGCAGUGGGGAAUAUUGCACAAUGGACGGAAGUCUGAUGCAGCAACGCCGCGUGCGGGAUGACGGCCUUCGGGUUGUAAACCGCUUUCAAUUGUGACGAAGCUUUUUGUGACGGUAGCAGUAGAAGAAGCACCGGCUAACUACGUG